rnacentral:lncRNA from 1 species
UACUAAGGUGCACUUGUUUAAGUUCCGUCAGAGGAAAAAAAACAAUUGAAAGCAGCUUCAGUGACAAGAGAAUAUUUAAUUUACAGAAUAUUUAUGUGAAUUUGUUUCUGCUCGAAAGAUUAGCUCCCAUUAAUCAGAUAAGUAAUUUAAAAAUCACUUUCUAUACUGUAGAGUGAUCACUUUAAGUACCCAUUUUUUUCUUUUUCAAUAAUCAAGCUUUUUUUUAAUCUCAUCUAACAUGUUUUCCUUCUACCUACUCUUUACCUUCUCUCUAGUGAUUCAAUACCAAGAAUAUUUUCAUAUUAGAGAACCUGGUAAAUCGCAUGUAAGGAGCCUGCAUCCUCUGCACUG